CUCAGGCUGCAGCGAGAGAGACUGGCUCGAGCCAAACUCCUAACGCCGGCAUGCCACCGUAACAUGCUGAUAACGACAAUUUCAACAUGCCGAUGAUUAGCAGUGCUGAAGGGCUCGGGGUCAGAAGCAGCAGGUGCCCUGAGGGACUGAAGCCGUGCACAGCAAAUGUUUGGGCUCCACUUCUCACAGGAUGAGUCAACGGGCCCAGAGUAACCCCCGGACCUUUCUCAAAUAUCAUAGGCCUCUGUGUUUGUGUGUUGAAGGAGAUUGUUUCCUCAUCUCUCAACCAGACCCGGCCCUCAGAGAGAUGAGCUGGGCCGCCAGUCCCUUCCUAAAGCGACGCUGGUAAACUAUGUGGCACAGACGUUUUGCUCAACCACUGUCGCUUCUUCUCCGUGCGCCACUGGCCAAGCUGGUAACAUGCACAGGCCUCUGAAUCGCAUUAGCUGUGGGGUUGUUGUUAACUGAUACAAGCAGAAGCCCUUCUUCAAGUAGUGCAACCUUUGUGUGCACGG
ensembl:lncRNA